rnacentral:rRNA from 1 species
UAGGGAAUAUUGCGCAAUGGACGAAGGUCUGACGCAGCGACGCCGCGUGGGUGAAGAAGGUCUUUUGAUUGUAAAGCCCUGUGAGGGGGGACGAAAAAUUUAAAAUUGACGGUACCCCCAGAGGAAGGACCGGCUACACACGUGCCAGCAGCCGCGGUAACACGUAGGAGGCAAACGUUAUCCGGAUUUACUGGGCGUAAAGGGUAUGUAGGCGGCCCUUCAAGUCGCGUGUCAAAGUCAAGUGCUCAACGCUGGGUGUGCGCGCGAUACUGACGGGCUUGAGGGCUGGAGAGGUGAGCGGAAUUCCCGGUGUAGUGGUAAAAUACGGAGAGAUCGGGAGGAAGACCAGUGGCGAAGGCGCCCUUCGGGACGGCAACUGACGCUGAGACGCGAAAGCGUGGGGAGCAAACA